UCUGACUUGGUUAUGGUUGCUGUGUUAAGUUUCUCGGACGUGGCGGCCUGGUCAGCUGCAUUGGGAAGCAGUCUCUCGUGGUAAGCAUUCGCUCCUGCAGUCCGCACAAUGACAUAGACUUCCAAUUUACAUGCUUUGUGAUUGGUGCUCCCCGUUCUGUCCUUUCCUACUGCAGCCAUGGGCAAAUUAUGCAUGUGGCCUUCCUCGGCCACGAUUUGCUCAAAAUGGAGACCAG
rnacentral:lncRNA from 1 species